rnacentral:rRNA from 1 species
GACGAACGCUGGCGGCGUGCUUAACACAUGCAAGUCGAACGGAAAGGCCCUGCUUUUGUGGGGUGCUCGAGUGGCGAACGGGUGAGUAACACGUGAGUAACCUACCCUUGACUUUGGGAUAACUUCAGGAAACUGGGGCUAAUACCGGAUAGGAGCUCCUGCUGCAUGGUGGGGGUUGGAAAGUUUCGGCGGUUGGGGAUGGACUCGCGGCUUAUCAGCUUGUUGGUGGGGUAGUGGCUUACCAAGUCUUUGACGGGUCGCCGGCCUGCGAGGGUGACCGGCCACAUCGGGACUGCGAUACGGCCCAGACUGCUACGGGAGGCAGCAGUGGGGAAUAUUGCCCACUGGGCGGAAGCCUGACGCAGCAACGCCGCGUGCGAGAUGACGGCCUUCGGGUUGUAAACCGCUUUCGCCUGUGACGAAGCGUGAGUGACGGUAAUGGGUAAAGAAGCACCGGCUAACUACGUG